GCUUCCUUCUUCUUCUCUUUUUGGCGCUUUUCUACCUUGAUUCUGAUUUACCCCGUUCUUUUUUCUCUCUUUGAUGUCAAAGCACCGUUGACACUGAGCCACCCUCCUUGAAUACUGAUGAAGUUUGAAAUGAGUGCGUCCCUGUGUUUGUUUAGGCGCGCGUGCGCGUGUGUGCGUGUGUCUGUGUGGGUGUGAGUCAGAGAGAUACAAAGAACAAGAAAGGGCGCAUUCAUGGGUUCAUGGUGCAUAUAAUAUUUGUUAAAUGACACUCUAAGGAUUUCUAUCCAUCAAUCCACUUUCCAAGCCACCUAUCCUCACAAGGGUUGCAGGAGCGCUGGAGCCUAUCCCAGCCGUCAACUGAUCACCAGUCGGUCAGAGGUCACAUGCUCUAAGGUGGGUGAUUUAUGCUUGGCACUGUGCCCCGCAGCACCACUGAGCCACUGUCGUCUUUCUUCUGCCAACCUUGGCCUCUGAUGGGAAAUAAAUCCUUUUCAGACACCACCACCAACAGCAAGAAAGAAGAAACUUUUUUGUCCGUUCUCGGUUUCUUUACUUGGAAACACGGAAGCCUCUGUGUUUCCCAUUACCGGCGCUUUCAUUCAUAGUCUUAUCUAUUUUUUUACUUUUUUUUAUUGUGUAAUUCAAACACUUGCAUUGUAACCAUAAAUUGCAAUUUGUGACAAAGACUAGGGUCCUGAAUGAGAGGAAGAGAAGGGAUUUUAAGAAGGAGCAACCAACGGAUGACUGUAAUGAGUUCAAUCUGGCCUCAUACUUGCUUUUUCACCAGACUUGUAAGAUGAACACACACACCGUUUCUAAUUGCUCCCAUACGUAGCUGUCUCUCCCUCACACACACAAAUCAUAUAUAAAUGGAUGCAUGCACAUACAUACAUAAUGACAGACUGAGCAAGCUCCGAGUUUCAUCUGUCGUGUCAAGAUGCGCCAAGUCUUGUACUUAGAAGAGUUUGUGAAGCUCUUUUCUACCGACUACAAUGAUCACAGAAUAUAUCUGUUGCAAGAUACUGUAAUAAUUAAUGUAUGUUGCAGGAUUUCAAUAUAUUGGUAAUUCAUGA